AAAGCAGAGAUUGUGUGUAUCGGCUUAGUGCGAUCUAAUGCGCUUUGUACGAAAGAUUUCUCUGCGAAAUCAAUUUGGGGCAGAUGGGCAGUUGUGAUUCAUUUUGUUAAUUGAAUAGCUCAACAAUCAUCUUCCCCACAAUU